UACGAAGGGGGCUAGCGUUGCUCGGAAUCACUGGGCGUAAAGCGCACGUAGGCGGAUCUUUAAGUCAGGGGUGAAAUCCUGGAGCUCAACUCCAGAACUGCCUUUGAUACUGGGGAUCUCGAGUCCGGAAGAGGUGAGUGGAACUCCGAGUGUAGAGGUGAAAUUCGUAGAUAUUUGCUAGAACACCAGUGGCGAAGGCGGCCAACUGGACCAUAACUGACGCUGAGGUGCGAAAGCGUGGGGAGCAAACAGG
rnacentral:rRNA from 1 species